rnacentral:tRNA from 1 species
CUUCCAUUAGCUCAGUUGGUAGAGCACCUGACUUUUAAUCAGGAAGUCCGCAGUUCGAGCCUGCGAUGGGAGA